GAAUUUCUGAGGGGAGUCUUAGCCAUGAUCACUAAGGUGGCUCUCCCAGGGCGAGGCUGGUCAUUGCACCCCGAGCCUGCUGACCCCUGCGAUUUCCCACAUGCGGGAAACUCGACUACACAAUUUAUGGUAGUGGGGGACUGCGUGCGAGCUUUCCCCUG